GUUGAACGCUGGCGGCAUGUCUUACACAUGCAAGUCGAACGGCAGCACGGGUGCUUGCACCUGGUGGCGAGUGGCGAACGGGUGAGUAAUACAUCGGAACGUACCUUAUCGUGGGGGAUAACGCAGCGAAAGCUGUGCUAAUACCGCAUACGCCCUGAGGGGGAAAGCGGGGGAUCGCAAGACCUCGCGCGAUUAGAGCGGCCGAUGCCUGAUUAGCUUGUUGGUGGGGUAAAAGCCCACCAAGGCGACGAUCAGUAGCUGGUCUGAGAGGACGAUCAGCCACGCUGGGACUGAGACACGGCCCAGACUCCUACGGGAGGCAGCAGGGGGGAAUUUUGGACGAUGGGGGCAACCCUGAUCCAGCAAUGCCGCGUGAGUGAAGAAGGCCUUCGGGUUGUAAAGCUCUUUUGUCAGGGAAGAAACACCGGCUCUAACACAGUCCGGGAAUGACGGUACCUGAAGAAUAAGCACCGGCUAACUACGUGCCAGCCGCCGCCGUAA
rnacentral:rRNA from 1 species